rnacentral:tmRNA from 1 species
GGGGGCGACCUGGCUUCGACGCGGGUUACAAAACCGGAGGUGCAUGCCGAGAUGCAGAAUCUCGUAAAUACUCUGCAAAAACUUAUAGUUGCCAACGACGACAACUACGCUUUAGCUGCUUAAUAACCAGCUCGAAGCCUUCGGCCUGAGGUGUGCCUGUACGCGCAGAUAACCGGAGUCAUCCCAUACAGGAUCGCGCUGAAACUUGUUCGGGGUGGAUGCGUUAAACUCUUACCGGAAUCGCUUUUGGUUUUCCCUGCCUGU